GAUGAAGAACGCAGCGAAAUGCGAUAAGUAGUGUGAAUUGCAGAAUUCAGUGAAUCAUCGAAUCUUUGAACGCACAUUGCGCCCCUUGGUAUUCCAUAGGGCAUGCCUGUUCGAGCGUCAUUUGUACCUUCAAGCUUUGCUUGGUGUUGGGUGUUUGUCUCGCCUUUGCGUGUAGACUCGCCUUAAAAUAAUUGGCAGCCGGCGUAUUGAUUUCGGAGCGCAGUACAUCUCGCGCUUUGCACUCAUAACGACAGCGUCCAAAAGUACAUUUUACACUCUUGACCUCGGAUCAGGUAGGGAUACCCGCUGAACUUAAGCAUAUCAAUAAGCGGAGGA
rnacentral:misc_RNA from 1 species